GGUUCUAAUGUUGUGUUGCCAUAGUCUCCGAAGUUUGCUUUUAAAGCUCACUCACAGAACUGGCUUAUACAACUUAGUUAGAAAAGUCAAGCAUCCAGACAUUUGAAGUACUAUUUGCACAUUAAGGUGACAUUUUCUAUUUUAAAAGUUCUCAAAAAAUUAAGAUGAAAAAGGAAACAAGAAAAGUUACGACUGAGGCAGAUAAGAAAGAUCCAGGAGAUCAAAAUUGUAAGACCAGAAUGACAAAAAGAAAGGCCAGUCCUGAAAAAAAGACCCCCAUAAAAAGAAGGAGGGUCAGUGAGCAGGCUGGUCCUUCCACCAGCUCAGAUGCUCAUGUGGUCAAAGGAGUCAAGCGCAAGGUCCAACAAGAUGAAGCGGGGACAACCAAUACAGCAAAAAGUGUAAACUUCUUGACCACAUGAGCGGUGACAAGGGGCAAGCAUCUUCCUGGUUGGACACUGGUAAAGACUGCAGCAUAGACAUUUCAGAGAGCUGCAGUAAAA